rnacentral:rRNA from 1 species
CCUCGGGACACAGCAGUGAGGAAUAUUGCACAAUGGGGGAAACCCUGAUGCAGCAACGCCGCGUGGAGGAUGACGCAUUUCGGUGUGUAAACUCCUUUUAUCAGAGAAGAAAAUGACGGUAUCUGAUGAAUAAGCUCCGGCUAACUCCGUGCCAGCAGCCGCGGUAAUACGGAGGGAGCAAGCGUUAUUCGGAAUCACUGGGCGUAAAGGACGCGUAGGCGGGUUUUUAAGUCAGGUGUGAAAUCCUAUGGCUCAACCAUAGAACUGCACUUGAAACUGGGGACCUAGAGUAUGGAAGGGGCAGGUGGAAUUAGUGGUGUAGGGGUAAAAUCCGUAGAUAUCACUAGGAAUACCGAAAGCGAAGGCGACCUGCUGGGACAUUACUGACGCUGAGGCGUGAAAGCGUGGGGAGCAAACAGGAUUAGAUACCCCCGUAGUC